AAAACGUCAGCUCACCCAGCUCAUGGGGGCUCCCAUCCACAGUGCACCGCCGAGGGUCUGGAGCCCCUUCCCCAUCCUCUCCUGAGCCCAGGAAAUCAAACUCAUUGAUAGCAUCCUCAGAGUCGUCUUCCUCAUCCUCGUCUUCCAUUUCGGGCACCAGAGCCUUGGAUGGGAGCUGGCACAUGGAGAAAGCCAGACAAGUCAGGGGGCCUCUUGUCCAGAGACUAAGCCACCUCCGUGCCUAGGAACAGCUGCAGUCCUUCAGUGUCGACUGCCUGAAAGCCUCUGGGGAAGCUGACACCUCUCGCCUCACCACCGCUAAAGUCCAUCAGCUCUGUCCCAGACAUCGAGCCAUCUCCUAACUGGUCCGCCUGCCUCCUCUGUGACCCUCCCACACCUCUCCUUCUCAGAGUGGAUCAGAGGCCCUCCCUGCCCACCCCCUGCAGAGGAGCACAUAUUGGCCCUCGUGGUCUCCAUCGUGCUUAGCAUCACCUACGUGGCCUCACUUGUUCUGCUUAACUGACAAUUGCUGAUGAGAGUGAACAAGCCAGAGAUUCCUGAG
rnacentral:lncRNA from 1 species